rnacentral:lncRNA from 1 species
GUCUCGUGUCCCCUAUGUGCCUUCUCCCACACCACCUUAGGGUCAGCAUAGCGGUGGGACAGGAGGUCACAGUGGACACUGAUGGACAUGCUGUGAGAAAAUAUGGCUCCCUUGUCAAGUUAAGACGUUUAUUCUGCCAACAGGGUUUUACUUUCCAUUUUCCCAGGGAACUGAGUGUUUGUCUGCAGGUGAAGUCAGAGGGUUGAUCUCUGUGUGUUGUGACACACAAGAGGUGACAUGACACUUGGUAGGAGGAGAGGACUCUGAUCCUGUUUUAUGGCUAGUUCGUGUGCUGUCCUCUCAAAAGGGUGGAAAGAAUGUGCAAAUGUGGGCACUCCCGUACCAUUUGAAUGAUCUCCUCUAGACCCCGCGGGAUUCGAGUUUGCCCUCUCAGUCCAUCGUGCUGACUCCAGGAGCACAGUGUGUGGAUUCCCGAGGGUGGCCGGUCAGGCCAGCUCCACGUUGAUAUUUGCCUUGGCCUUCUGAGCUUCCCUUGCCUCUCCUUCUUCAUGCGCAGACCUAGCGUGCUGCUGCUUCUCCACUUCAGAGAACAGCCGUGGGCGCUGUGCAGUGAAUCCUGGGGGGAGUCACUGCCUUUCUCAGUGUCCCCCAGCAGUCAGACACAGCGGCCUUCCAGAGUGCCGAAAGGCCCGUGGUCGAGCCAGCUCUCGGAUCAACUGGGGGACUGUUGUCGUGGGGGCGUUGCUGAGCUGCCGUGUGUGAAAUAUGGUUAAAGCCGGGGACCACGCAGCUGGGCCACUUCUCCAGAGCCCAGGAGAGAUGGGCUGGGUACUGAAAGAUUUGCUACGUGUGUCCAUUCUAUGUUGUCUUCUUAUUACACAAAAUAAUAAUAAUGGUAAUUAUUAUUAUUAUUAUUAUUAGAGGGUGGAAGGAAACUUUGGAGGGGAUGGGUCUGUUUAUGGCACAGGUUUUGGUAAUGGUUCACAGAUGUCUACCUAUUUCCACAGUCUUUAAAUCAUAUACAUUAAAUAUGUACAGCUCUUUUGGGUCAUUCUUUCCUUCAUCCCUCAAGAAAGUGGUUUCAGAAAAUAAUAUUAAAGGCCCUCCCCUGACUACAGAUGAGCGCUCCCUCUCAAAUGUCUUUAGCUUUAGGACUGAAGGGAAGACUGCUUCUCCAUGGUUAAAGGGGUAACGGCGUUGACUGCGUGUGGAUUCUUUUGGGCCUUGGACUUUCCACUUAUAUGGAGCCUUAGCAUUGGCCGUGUGUAAGGAUAACUUUUAGUCCACAGGGUGUUGACUUUCCUAGACUCACAGCGGUUCUCCAGAACCCAUGAACUUCACCUGAAGGACUUCGACUCAGAGAUGGGGCCUGUGACAUCAGCUACUUGUCAUGUGACCAGAAAUUGAUGUCGGGGUACUGUGACUUUGGCAUUAGGUUGGACUUUGGGUUGUUUUCCUUGUUUACAACGUGUGCUUUUGUGCUUACUCAAGAAAUCUUUUGAAAUACUGUACAUGUGGAGACGUGUCCAGAUGUGUCUGUCCUGUCCGUGUAUUCUACAGGGUGACCGCCGAGGUCUCAGGCUGAGUAGCCUUUCCAGUAGGAGCCUUUUCUCGGAGACCUUCCCUCACCCUCUGUUUACUGUGUGACUGAGUUCCCUGGCCAUACCAACUCGGUGUGAUACUUUUCUGCUAUCCUCAUUGCUGUGUCUUUACAAUGUGUUUGCUGCUUCUGUUUCUUGCAUUUUAAAGAACCCUUGUGUUCUCCCAAUAAAAUUCACUUGUUUCAGAAGAUUCCACUUGUCGAUUGUUUUCUUCGCAGUCAACACCCUCAGGUCAAGGGAGCUGCGGCUGUGCCAUGUGCAUCAUCACUUGCACCGGGGCAGAGCUCUGUGCCAUAGAUCCUGAGGCAUCAAGGACAGGGGCCUGGUGGCAGGGGAAGGGGCUCUCCAGGCCCUGAUGGAAGUUCUCCCCUUUGUUAAGCUGGCCCCUGUGUUUAGAGACGUACUCCCCUACAGGUGGUGGGUAAUCUAAUGCCUCCCCUUAUGGGGUGAUCCUUUGAGCCACUUCUUGAAGGCCAUCAGCACAGAUGUGGGGACUGUGGAGUAAGGGUGGGAGGUCUUCUGAUAGGUCCAGGGGUAAGGCGGGGUAGGGUAGUCAGCAUGCUUCUAGAGAAGGUCCGUUCAGAAGUGGUUGGGUCUUUGGGUCUGGUUCCCUUCCUGGGAUUUCAUACACGUCUUGGGCUGCAGGUGUCAGCAAGUGUUCUUGCCAUCCAGUCUACAGGGACCCAAGCUGCAAUGUCCCAUUUGUAACGGGAGUUCAUCGUUACGCAAAGUUCAAAUCACUUCUCUUUGUCCUCACUGCAACUGAACCUUUAUCGAUAUCCCUUUUCUUACCCUCUCUGGUUACCGAAUGAGUCUCACGUUCGAAUGUGACCAUUUCCCCUUUUGGCCUUAGUUCAGGUUAGCGGUAUGACGCUACCAGAGACAUUGGCUUUUCCUCUUUGCCAAAGACCAGCAAAUCACAUUGCUGCUCUGAUGGCGAGGUUCCCAGUUGACACCGGGAGUUCAUUUCCUCAGAGGGGGUCCGGGUUGGUGAGGGCGGGGCCGUGGGCGGUACCCAGCAACUGCGCAGUCUCUGCCCACAAAGGCUGUGGUCGCUCCAGCGCAGGCGCAGUAGGUACCCAAGGCAGUGGACGAGCGAGACGCCGGCGUGGCUCUAAUGCCUGUUGGUGGAGGCCGGUCCAGAAUCGCGGGAGGCGUGGCCAGAAUCGGAGGGGAGGUGCUGAGGGUUUUCAGGAGGGGCGGUGGAUGAGGACUGGGUCACAGGAGAAGACGUCAGGCCACUGGGCUCCAUAUGCAUGGUGAAGGCGGGGGCUGCAGGGAGUGAAGUGGGGAGGAUCCAAGUGCUCAGGCGCUGAGGCGUCCGCGUGGUGCCCCCCCUCCCUGUCCACCACCCACCUGUACUUCUGACAUCCUCAGUCAACGUUGGCCUCCGGAUGCCCCUUCUGGGAGGUUUUGUGAACACAUUUUCCUGCUCAUUCAUGCGUCUGUCACCCAAGAUUUUUGGCCCACAGGCCACAGAUACUGCCUCCAAGAUUAUUGGGAAGGCCCCAAACAUCAGCCCACAUAAUUCACAGCAGCACAUUCAACGAAGAAUGCACCAUGGCCAGGGAACGUCAGGGGAGUUCAAUGCUAAGAAAUGUAUUCACUCACUGCGUUCAGAGAGAGAAAGAGGAUAUCAUGCAAUCACCUCCAUAGAUGUUGAAAAGAUGAAAAUCAGAGGAG